rnacentral:rRNA from 1 species
CGAAUGCUGACAUAAGUAACGAUAAAGCGGGUGAAAAGCCCGCUCGCCGGAAGACCAAGGGUUCCUGUCCAACGUUAAUCGGGGCAGGGUGAGUCGACCCCUAAGGCGAGGCCGAAAGGCGUAGUCGAUGGGAAACAGGUUAAUAUUCCUGUACUUGGUGUUACUGCGAAGGGGGGACGGAGAAGGCUAUGUUGGCCGGGCGACGGUUGUCCCGGUUUAAGCGUGUAGGCUGGUUUUCCAGGCAAAUCCGGAAAAUCAAGGCUGAGGCGUGAUGACGAGGCACUACGGUGCUGAAGCAACAAAUGCCCUGCUUCCAGGAAAAGCCUCUAAGCAUCAGGUAACAUCAAAUCGUACCCCAAACCGACACAGGUGGUCAGGUAGAGAAUACCAAGGCGCUUGAGAGAACUCGGGUGAAGGAACUAGGCAAAAUGGUGCCGUAACUUCGGGAGAAGGCACGCUGAUAUGUAGGUGAAGUCCCUCGCGGAUGGAGCUGAAAUCAGUCGAAGAUACCAGCUGGCUGCAACUGUUUAUUAAAAACACAGCACUGUGCAAACACGAAAGUGGACGUAUACGGUGUGACGCCUGCCCGGUGCCGGAAGGUUAAUUGAUGGGGUCA